GAUGAACGCUGGCGGCGUGCUUAACACAUGCAAGUCGAACGAAGCACCUCUCCCGAAGAUUGACACAGCUUGCUGUAGAUUGAUUCAUUUGAGGUGACUGAGUGGCGGACGGGUGAGUAACGCGUGGGUAACCUGCCUCAUAGAGGGGGACAACAGUUGGAAACGACUGCUAAUACCGCAUAGUAAGAAGAAUUCGCAUGUUUUCUUCUUGAAAGAUUUAUCGCUAUGAGAUGGACCCGCGUCUGAUUAGCUAGUUGGUAAGGUAACGGCUUACCAAGGCGACGAUCAGUAGCCGGCUUGAGAGAGUGAACGGCCACAUUGGGACUGAGACACGGCCCAAACUCCUACGGGAGGCAGCAGUGGGGAAUAUUGCACAAUGGGGGAAACCCUGAUGCAGCGACGCCGCGUGAGUGAAGAAGUAUUUCGGUAUGUAAAGCUCCAUCAGCAGGGAAGAUAAUGACGGUACCUGACUAAGAAGCCCCGGCUAACUACGUG
rnacentral:rRNA from 1 species